UACGUAGGGGGCAAGCGUUGUCCGGAUUUAUUGGGCGUAAAGAGCGUGUAGGCGGCCUGAAAGGUCAGCUGUGAAAACUCGAGGCUCAACCUCGAGACGUCGGUUGAAACCAUCUGGCUAGAGUCCGGAAGAGGAGUGUGGAAUUCCCGGUGUAGCGGUGAAAUGCGCAGAUAUCGGGAAGAACACCCGUGGCGAAGGCGGCUCUCUGGGACGGUACUGACGCUGAGACGCGAAAGCGUGGGGAGCGAACAGG
rnacentral:rRNA from 1 species